GAACGAACGCUGGCGGCGUGGAUAAGACAUGCAAGUCGAACGGAAUUACUUUUGUAGCAAUACAGAAGUAAUUCAGUGGCGAACGGGUGCGUAACACGUGGGCAAUCUGCCGAGAAGUGGGGGAUAGCUCGCCGAAAGGCGAAUUAAUACCGCAUGUGGUGAGGGAAGACAUCUUCCUGAAUCCAAAGCCGGGGUAACCUGGCGCUUUUUGAGGAGCCCGCGGCCUAUCAGCUUGNGGUGAGGUAACGGCUCACCAAGGCUUUGACGGGUAGCUGGUCUGAGAGGACGACCAGUCACACUGGAACUGAGACACGGGUCUAGACACCUACGGGGUGGCAGCAGUCGAGAAUUUCUCUCAAUGGGGGAAACCCUGAAGGAGCGACGCCGCGUGGAGGA
rnacentral:rRNA from 1 species